CCCGGCGUAGCCCAAUUAGCAGAGGCACUCCGCUCAGACCGGAGCCAGUGCGGGUGCGAGUCCUGCCGCCGGGA
rnacentral:tRNA from 1 species